rnacentral:rRNA from 1 species
UACGAAGGGGGCUAGCGUUGCUCGGAAUUACUGGGCGUAAAGCGCACGUAGGCGGCUCUUUAAGUCGGAGGUGAAAUCCUGGAGCUCAACUCCAGAACUGCCUUCGAUACUGAAGAGCUCGAGUCCGGGAGAGGUGAGUGGAACUGCGAGUGUAGAGGUGAAAUUCGUAGAUAUUCGCAAGAACACCAGUGGCGAAGGCGACUCACUGGACACGUAUUGACGCUGAGGAGCGAAAGCGUGGGGAGCAAACAGG